AAGCUCUAAGCUGGCACCAGCCAGCCCAAUUUAAGGUCAGGUUUUGCAUAGGAGAUUCAGACAGGAAACAGACAGGCGUCAAAGCAACCCGGAGGGCAGCGAAACAACACCGCUCUGUCCACAGACUGCACACGGAGAUGUGCUAUGUCAUCUGCUGCCUGGAACUUGCCAAGUGGGCCAAUCUGGCUGGCCAACCAAUGCCAGGGAUCUGCCUGUUUCUGCCUUUCCAGCGAGGGCAUCACGAGAAAAACCCAAGUGUCGAGGCAUCUGAAGCUGAAACAAUGUGAUUGGACCACUCUGUGCUGUUUAAAAGGAGAAGCGAUGUUUGGAGGAAGUGGAGAUGGUCCAGGGUGCUAUUCUGUCGAGUUGGCACCUUCAGAUCAAACACAGUUGGCUGUUAGGACCGUCGCUCUCUGAUGUGGUUGUUAAACAAGUGUGGCAGAGAUCUUUGCUGUGUUUUACUCCUUUCCUUGCUUGAAAACAGAAAGCCUUGAGCUUCAGUUGUGACAUGGGGUCUCCCUUACCUAUUCAUGGGUUUUCUUAAUGCUCUUAAAGUGGACUUCGUAGGCAGGUGGGGGUGAGCACAGUUCCCCAAAUCUCUAAAUAGAGGUAUGACAGAGCUCAGAUGAGACAAGCCAGACACCUGCUUGUGCCGGUUUAGUGUUUGGGUUUGGCUUGUCUCCCAUGCUCAGAAGCCCAGCUUUCAUCUUCUCACCGAGCACAACAUUUGUUUGGAUCAGAAGACUGGAAGACUAAUAGCACCAAGGCGGAGACUCUCCCUCUCAGGCACAUUUCCUUCUUCGGCCACAAAUGGCAACCAAGGAGAUGAAGCGGAGCAGAGGGGCCUCAACAGAAAGAACUGUGCUGGAGAGGAGGAACACGAAUGUCAUGUUUGCCGCUCGGGGGCAAGAAAACAGCGUGGGAAAGGCCAACUAAAUGCUGUCUGACCUGACUGUGGGCAGAGGUGCCCUUUCCCUGUGGGGGACUCUCGCAAGACUGUUAGAGCUGAGAAUCAGGGUCAGUGCACUUUGACUUUAUCCCCAGAAGAUGGAAUCUUGGUAACAGAUCUUUCGAGAACCUUCCCCAUGGUCCAUUUAUUGGAAUGAAAUCCAACUAUAAAUAUG